UUUUUUUUUUUUUUUUUUUUUUUUUUUUUUUUUUUUC
rnacentral:ribozyme from 2 species